UCCAGAGAACUUAGCAGAGAUGCUUUGGUGCCUUCGGGAACUCUGAGACAGGUGCUGCAUGGCUGUCGUCAGCUCGUGUUGUGAAAUGUUGGGUUAAGUCCCGNAACGAGCGCAACCCUUAUCCUUUGUUGCCAGCGGUUCGGCCGGGAACUCAAAGGAGACUGCCGGUGAUAAACCGGAGGAAGGUGGGGAUGACGUCAAGUCAUCAUGGCCCUUACGGCCAGGGCUACACACGUGCUACAAUGGCGCAUACAAAGAGAAGCGACCUCGCGAGAGCAAGCGGACCUCAUAAAGUGCGUCGUAGUCCGGAUUGGAGUCUGCAACUCGACUCCAUGAAGUCGGAAUCGCUAGUAAUCGUAGAUCAGAAUGCUACGGUGAAUACGUUCCCGGGCCUUGUACACACCGCCCGUCACACCAUGGGAGUGGGUUGCAAAAGAAGUAGGUAGCUUAACCUUCGGGAGGGCGCUUACCACUUUGUGAUUCAUGACUGGGGUGAAGUCGUAACAAGGUAAGCGUAGUGCU
rnacentral:rRNA from 1 species